AGUCAAUAGAUACCCUGGUAGUCCACGCCGUAAACGAUGUCGACUUGGAGGUUGUGCCCUUGAGGCGUGGCUUCCGGAGCUAAACGCGUUAAGUCGACCGCCUGGGGAGUACGGCCGCAAGGUUAAAACUCAAAUGAAUUGACGGGGGCCCGCACAAGCGGUGGAGCAUGUGGUUUAAUUCGAUGCAACGCGAAGAACCUUACCUACUCUUGACAUCCAGAGAACUUUCCAGAGAUGGAUUGGUGCCUUCGGGAACUCUGAGACAGGUGCUGCAUGGCUGUCGUCAGCUCGUGUUGUGAAAUGUUGGGUUAAGUCCCGCAACGAGCGCAACCCUUAUCCUUUGUUGCCAGCGGUUAGGCCGGGAACUCAAAGGAGACUGCCAGUGAUAAACUGGAGGAAGUGGGGAUGACGUCAAGUCAUCAUGGCCC
rnacentral:rRNA from 1 species